CACAUGUGACGAGUUUGAUCUUGGCUCAGAAUGAACGCUGGCGGCAGGCCUAACACAUGCAAGUCGAGCGAGGACUUCGGUCCUAGCGGCGGACGGGUGAGUAACGCGUGGGAAUAUGCCCUUUGGUACGGAAUAGCCUCGGGAAACUGGGAGUAAUACCGUAUGUGCCCUUCGGGGAAAGAUUUAUCGCCAAAGGAUUAGCCCGCGUUGGAUUAGGUAGUUGGUGGGGUAAUGGCCUACCAAGCCGACGAUCCAUAGCUGGUUUGAGAGGAUGAUCAGCCACACUGGGACUGAGACACGGCCCAGACUCCUACGGGAGGCAGCAGUGGGGAAUCUUAGACAAUGGGCGCAAGCCUGAUCUAGCCAUGCCGCGUGAUCGAUGAAGGCCUUAGGGUUGUAAAGAUCUUUCAGAUGGGGAAGAUAAUGACUGUACCAUCAGAAGAAGCCCCGGCUAACUCCGUG
rnacentral:rRNA from 1 species